rnacentral:rRNA from 1 species
CCUACGGGGGGCAGCAGUGGGGAAUAUUGCACAAUGGGGGGAACCCUGAUGCAGCAACGCCGCGUGGGUGAAGAAGUACUUCGGUAUGUAAAGCCCUGUCAGCAGGGAAGAAAAUGACGGUACCUGACCAAGAAGCCCCGGCUAACUACGUGCCAGCAGCCGCGGUAAUACGUAGGGGGCAAGCGUUAUCCGGAUUUACUGGGUGUAAAGGGAGCGUAGACGGCAAGGCAAGUCUGGAGUGAAAGCCCGUGGCUCAACCACGGGACUGCUUUGGAAACUGUGUUGCUUGAGUGCAGGAGGGGUAAGCGGAAUUCGUAGUGUAGCGGUGAAAUGCGUAGAUAUUAGGAGGAACACCGGUGGCGAAGGCGGCUUACUGGACUGUAACUGACGUUGAGGCUCGAAGGCGUGGGGAGCAAACAGGAUUAGAUACCCGGGUAGUC